GAUGAAGAACGCAGCGAAAUGCGAUAAGUAAUGUGAAUUGCAGAAUUCAGUGAAUCAUCGAAUCUUUGAACGCACAUUGCGCCCGCUAGUAUUCUGGCGGGCAUGCCUGUCCGAGCGUCAUUUCAACCCUCAAGCCCCCGGGCUUGGUGUUGGGGAUCGGCGAGCCUCCGCGCCCGCCGUCCCCUAAAUCUAGUGGCGGUCUCGCUGUAGCUUCCUCUGCGUAGUAGCACACCUCGCACUGGGAAACAGCGCGGCCACGCCGUUAAACCCCCAACUUCUGAAAGUUUGACCUCGGAUCAGGUAGGAAUACCCGCUGAACUUAAGCAUAUCAAUAAGCGGAGGA
rnacentral:misc_RNA from 1 species